GACGAACGCUGGCGGCGUGCUUAACACAUGCCAGUCGAACGGAAAGGCCCUGCUUUUGUGGGGUGCUCGAGUGGCGAACGGGUGAGUAACACGUGAGUAACCUGCCCUUGACUUUGGGAUAACUUCAGGAAACUGGGGCUAAUACCGGAUAGGAGUUCCUGCUGCAUGGUGGGGGUUGGAAAGUUUCGGCGGUUGGGGAUGGACUCGCGGUUUAUCAGCUUGUUGGUGGGGUAGUGGCUUACCAAGGCUUUGACGGGUAGCCGGCCUGAGAGGGUGACCGGCCACAUUGGGACUGAGAUACGGCCCAGACUCCUACGGGAGGCAGCAGUGGGGAAUAUUGCACAAUGGGCGGAAGCCUGAUGCAGCAACGCCGCGUGCGGGAUGACGGCCUUCGGGUUGUAAACCGCUUUCGCCUGUGACGAAGCGUGAGUGACGGUAAUGGGUAAAGAAGCACCGGCUAACUACGUG
rnacentral:rRNA from 1 species